UUGUACAGGUGCUGCAUGGCUGUCGUCAGCUCGUGUCGUGAGAUGUUCGGUUAAGUCCGCUAACGAGCGCAACCCUCGCUGUGUGUUACAAGUGUCACACGGGAACUGCCGGUCAUAAACCGGAGGAAGGUGGGGAUGACGUCAAGUCAGCAUGGCCUUUAUAUCCUGGGCUACACACACGCUACAAUGGGAAGGGACAAUAGGUUGCGAAGCCGCGAGGCGGAGCCAAUCCAGCAAAACUUCCCUCAGUUCAGAUUGCAGGCUGCAACCCGCCUGCAUGAAGUUGGAGUUGCUAGUAAACGCAGGUCAGCCAUACUGCGUUGAAUACGUUCCCGGGGCUU
rnacentral:rRNA from 1 species